GAUGAACGCUGGCGGCGUGCCUAAUACAUGCAAGUCGAGCGAACAGACGAGGAGCUUGCUUCUCUGACGUUAGCGGCGGACGGGUGAGUAACACGUGGAUAACCUACCUAUAAGACUGGGAUAACUUCGGGAAACCGGAGCUAAUACCGGAUAAUAUAUUGAACCGCAUGGUUCAAUAGUGAAAGACGGUUUUGCUGUCACUUAUAGAUGGAUCCGCGCCGCAUUAGCUAGUUGGUAAGGUAACGGCUUACCAAGGCAACGAUGCGUAGCCGACCUGAGAGGGUGAUCGGCCACACGGGAACUGAGACACGGUCCAGACGCCUACGGGAGGCAGCAGUAGGGAAUCUUCCGCAAUGGGCGAAAGCUUGAAGGAGCAACGCCGAGUGAGUGAUGAAGGUCUUCGGAUCGUAAAACUCUGUUAUUAGGGAAGAACAAAUGUGUAAGUAACUAUGCACGUCUUGACGGUACCUAAUCAGAAAGCCACGGCUAACUACGUG
rnacentral:rRNA from 1 species